UACGGAGGGUGCAAGCGUUAUCCGGAUUUACUGGGUUUAAAGGGUGCGUAGGUGGGUCCGUAAGUCAGUGGUGAAAUCUCCGAGCUUAACUCGGAAACUGCCAUUGAUACUAUAGGUCUUGAAUUAUCUGGAGGUGAGCGGAAUAUGUCAUGUAGCGGUGAAAUGCUUAGAUAUGACAUAGAACACCAAUUGCGAAGGCAGCUCACUACGGAUAUAUUGACACUGAGGCACGAAAGCGUGGGGAUCAAACAGG
rnacentral:rRNA from 1 species